AUUGAACGCUGGCGGCAUGCUUUACACAUGCAAGUCGAACGGCAGCGCGGGCUUCGGCCUGGCGGCGCGUGGCGAACGGGUGAGUAAUGCAUCGGAACGUGCCCAGUAGUGGGGGAUAGCCCGGCGAAAGCCGGAUUAAUACCGCAUACGACCUGAGAGUGAAAGCGGGGGACCGAAAGGCCUCGCGCUAUUGGAGCGGCCGAUGUCGGAUUAGCUAGUUGGUGGGGUAAAGGCUUACCAAGGCGACGAUCCGUAGCUGGUCUGAGAGGACGACCAGCCACACUGGGACUGAGACACGGCCCAGACUCCUACGGGAGGCAGCAGUGGGGAAUUUUGGACAAUGGGGGCAACCCUGAUCCAGCCAUGCCGCGUGCGGGAAGAAGGCCUUCGGGUUGUAAACCGCUUUUGUGCGGGAAGAAAUCCUCUGGGCUAAUACCCCGGGGGGAUGACGGUACCGGAAGAAUAAGCACCGGCUAACUACGUG
rnacentral:rRNA from 1 species